GUUUAAACAGUAACCCUUCCUAUUUAAACAGCUGAGCAGAGGUGGAAGCCAUACUGAGUAAAGAAGCUGGCUGACUGAGUUUUACAGCACAAACUGAACAGAAAUGGGAUUUCCAGAUUAUCUCACUGUGAUGAUUUCACUGAACUUCCGGCUCUUCCUUCCUUUCACUUUCCUGGUCAUCAUUUUGUGCUGCAUGAUUCGACUGGAUCGCGUUCCUGUCUGCUACUAGAUGAACCUCCUCAUCUGCAACCUGAUACACAUUUUCUCUCUGAUCCUGCUGAAAGCCACCAUGGAUCCUUUUCAGGAAAACUUACUUAUAAUCACAUAUUAUUUUAAAAUGUACAACUUUGGUGCUGUGACCAGUCUUUGCUUCAGGAUGUGUGUUGCUGUAGAAAGGUCAUUUCUGAUCUGCUGGCCACAGCAGGACUUCAUCAGACAAACCAAAGGUUCAGUCAUUAUCUGCGCCUCAGUCUGGUUGUUUUGUAUUGUUCUUGUCACAAAUGUCAUCAUCUUUAAGCUCUAUUAUCUGCUUGUAACAGUUGGCUUUCUUUCUGCUCCAGUGUUCAUCAUUAGUCUGGUCAGUGGUGUUACAUAUUUACCUAAUGUCUCGUCUUUCCCAGCUGCAGAGAAACACAGAAUUAUGGGAAUUUUUGUUAUAAUAAUGCUUAAUUACACGUUGACAAUCCUGCCUGUGCUUAUUUAUUUUAUUUAUACAUAUCUGCACUCCCCUGAAAUGACAGAAAUUAUUUUUGCCUUGUUUCUCUUCAGCCCUUUCAUGGACCUGAUUCUGUUUGUCUUUAUGUGUAAAGAGAUCACUGACCAGCUGUUGAUGUGCGUCUCCUGCUGCAGAAAGGAAACUCCUGCAGAAGAUUAGAAAAGCAAUCAGUCUGUUAAAGUGUAGAGCAGACUGGUAAAUGUAGACUGUAGAUAUUUACAAGAUGGUAAAAAAUGUUUG